rnacentral:tRNA from 1 species
GCCCGGUUGGCUCAGUCAGUUAAGCAUCUGACUUUGGCUCAGGUCAUGAUCUCACAGUUCAUGGGUUCAAGCCCCACAUCAGGCU